GAUGAAGAACGCAGCGAAAUGCGAUACGUAAUGUGAAUUGCAGAUCUCUCAGUGAACCAUCGAAUUUUUGAACGCACAUAGCGCCCGCCGGUCAUUCCGGCGGGCAUGCCUGUCCGAGCGUCGAUGACGCCGCUCGAGCCCCCGUGCUCGGUGUUGGGGCGCUAGGUCUCCCAGAGGCCUAGGCCCCCAAGUAGCAGUGCGCGGUCCGGCUGCGGGCCCCGGGUACAGUAACUUCACUGUUGAGAUGCCCUGGGAGCCGCUGGCUGGGUUAGCCGUAAAACCCCCGACAUAGGCCUUCCUGUCCGCCCCCGGCGGGGAGGGAGACCGCCUAAUGUUGACCUCGGAUCAGGUAGGACUACCCGCUGAACUUAAGCAUAUCAAUAAGCGGAGGA
rnacentral:misc_RNA from 1 species